GACGAACUGUGCAAACGUUAUUCGGAAUCACUGGGCUUGAAGAGUGCGUAGGCGGUUUCGUAAGUAGGGUGUGAAAGCCCCCAGCUCAACUGGGGAACUGCGUCCUAAACUGCGAGGCUGGAGUGAGGUAGGGGUGUGUGGAACUUCCGGUGGAGCGAUGAAAUGUGUUGAUAUCGGAAGGAACGCCGGUGGCGAAAGCGACACACUGGGUCUCAACUGACGCUGAGGCACGAAAGCCAGGGGAGCGAACGGG
rnacentral:rRNA from 1 species